CGUUUCAAUGGGUUCCACCAACAACUGGCUAAACUUCGCCUCGUUCUCCGCCGGUAAUGCCGACGCCGCCCUGCACCCGCUGCCGCCCCAAGGCGAGGCAGAUGCCGAGGCACCGAAGCUGGAAGACUUCCUCGGCUUGCCGGAGCUGACAGCCCCGGUGGACACUAGGCCGCUCGCCGGGAGUGGCGCAAGCUCUAUCGGGCUGUCCAAGAUCAAGAACUGGCUGCGCAGCCGACCGGCGCCGGAACAUUCAGGUGUCGACUGCAUGGCGCUGGGGACGACUGCGACGUCGCUGGAGGGGAGCAGGAAGGUGGUCGACGGCACAGGGAGAGCGGCGGCACCAUUUUGGUGGACACUACGCUGCAGAGGAAGCCCUCGGCGGACACAUUCAGGCAGCGGACGUCUAAUUAUCGCGGCGCGGCGUCACAAAGCAUAGAUGGACAUGAAGGUAUGAAGCCCAUCUUUGGGACAAUAGCUGCAGAAGAGAAGGUCAGACUUGCCAAGGCAAACAAGGUCGGGAGGUCUGGCGCCUUGUUAAUG
rnacentral:misc_RNA from 1 species